GACGAACGCUGGCGGCGUGCUUAAUACAUGCAAGUCGAACGGAAAGGCCCUGCUCUUGCGGGGUGCUCGAGUGGCGAACGGGUGAGUAACACGCGAGUAACCUGUCCCUGACUUUGGGAUAACUUCAGGAAACUCCGGCUAAUAUCGGAUAGGAGCUCCUGCUGCAUGGUGGGGGUUGGAAAGUUUCGGCGGUUGGGGAUGGACUCGCGGCUUACCAGCUUGCUGGGCGGGUAGUGGCUUACCAAGGCUUUGACGGGUAGCCGGCCUGAGAGGGGGACCGGCCACAUGGGGACUGAGAUACGGCCCAGACGCCUACGGGAGGCAGCAGUGGGGAAUAUUGCACAAUGGGCGGGAGCCUGAUGCGGCAACGCCGCGUGCGGGAUGACGGCCUUCGGGUGGUGAACCGCUUUCGCCGGUGACGAAGCGUGAGUGACGGUAAUGGGUAAGGAAGCACCGGCUAACUACGUG
rnacentral:rRNA from 1 species